rnacentral:rRNA from 1 species
AUUGAACGCUGGCGGCAUGCUUUACACAUGCAAGUCGAACGGUAACAGGCCGCAAGGUGCUGACGAGUGGCGAACGGGUGAGUAAUGCAUCGGAACGUGCCCAGUCGUGGGGGAUAACGCAGCGAAAGCUGUGCUAAUACCGCAUACGAUCUAUGGAUGAAAGCGGGGGACCGUAAGGCCUCGCGCGAUUGGAGCGGCCGAUGUCAGAUUAGGUAGUUGGUGGGGUAAAGGCUCACCAAGCCAACGAUCUGUAGCUGGUCUGAGAGGACGACCAGCCACACUGGGACUGAGACACGGCCCAGACUCCUACGGGAGGCAGCAGUGGGGAAUUUUGGACAAUGGGCGCAAGCCUGAUCCAGCAAUGCCGCGUGCAGGAAGAAGGCCUUCGGGUUGUAAACUGCUUUUGUACGGAACGAAACGGUCUGGGUUAAUACCCUGGGCUAAUGACGGUACCGUAAGAAUAAGCACCGGCUAACUACGUGCCAGCCGCCGCAGUAAGAC